CGGAGGCGGCACAUGCUGCUGCGGCGGAGGCGGCACAUGCUGCUGCGGCGGAGGAGGCCCAUAGCCGCGGGGCGGUGGAGGCCCGUGGCCGCCGGGCGGCGGUGGAGGUCCAUAGCCGCGGGGCGGCGGAGGCGGAGAGGGAUGUCCCUGCGGAGACCACUGCGGAGCCGGUCCGGGGGGAGGGGGAUUCCUUGGCGGCGCCCACUGCUGCUGAUGGGGCUGGUGAACAUGGUUGGGAGCGGCGGCGGCGGCGGGGGAAGGGGAAGGGUGGUAGGCGUAGGACGACUGGGAAGAUGAGAGGGGGCGGGCGAGGAGGUGGAGGAGGGAACGGGACCUGGCGGAGGAGAUGGCGAAGGAGCGGAGCGGGCGCAGGUGGAUGGCGGCGGUGGCGGCCAUGGUGAUUGGUGAUUGGCGAGGGCUUCACUUCUCCUCACCUCCGCUUGGGGGGUUUAGCCGUUUAGGCGAAGGCGAGAUUGGGGGAGAUGGAAGAUGUGGAGAUAUUUCCGGGCUCGCGAAUGGCGGAAUGGUGGUUCAUAUGGGCUCCGCGGGUGGUUGUACUCGGCCCAGUAAAAGAAUGAGGCCCAUGUCUGCGUCACGGUAAACUAGGCCACGAUCAAGGAAAGGC
rnacentral:lncRNA from 1 species